rnacentral:piRNA from 1 species
UUUCAUCUCAUGUAGAAAUCUCUUUGCCU